AUUGAACGCUGGCGGCAGGCCUAACACAUGCAAGUCGAACGAGUGGCGGACGGGUGAGUUAUGUCUGGGAAACUGCCUGAUGGAGGGGGAUAACCACUGGAAACGGUAGCUAAUCCCGCAUACCAUCAGAUGUGCCCAGUGGGGAUUAGCUAGUUGGUGGGGUAACGGCGCACCAAGGCGGCGAUCCCUAGCUGGUCUGAGAGGAUGACCAGCGACACGGGAAAGGAGAAACGGUCCAUAGUCCUACGGGAGGCAGCAGUGGGGAAUAGUGCACAAUGGGCGCAAGCCGGAUGCAGCCAUGACGCGUGUAUGAAGAAGGCCUUCGGGUUGAAAAGUAUUUUCAGCUGGGAGGCGUUACCCGCAGAAGAAGCACCGGCUAACUCCGUGCCAGCAGCCGCGGUAAUAC
rnacentral:rRNA from 1 species